UACGAAGGGGGCUAGCGUUGUUCGGAAUUACUGGGCGUAAAGCGCACGUAGGCGGAUAUUUAAGUCAGGGGUGAAAUCCCGGGGCUCAACCUCGGAACUGCCUUUGAUACUGGGUAUCUUGAGUAUGGAAGAGGUAAGUGGAAUUGCGAGUGUAGAGGUGAAAAUUCGUAGAUAUUCGCAGGAACACCAGUGGCGAAGGCGACUUUCUGGCCUAUAACUGACGCUGAGGCGCGAAAGCGUGGGGAGCAAACAGG
rnacentral:rRNA from 1 species